UCGCGGCUUAUCACCGGCAGUCUCCUUAGAGUGCUCAACUAAAUGGUAGCAACUAAGGACGGGGGUUGCGCUCGUUGCGGGACUUAACCCAACAUCUCACGACACGAGCUGACGACAGCCAUGCAGCAUCUGUGACCCACCCUCGAAGGCGACCGCCUUUCAGCGGCUUGCAGGGUCAUGUCAAACCUGGGUAUGGUUCUGCGCGUUGCGUCGAAUUAAACCACACGCUCCGCUGCUUGUGCGGGCCCCCGUCAAUUCCUUUGAGUUUCAGCCUUGCGGCCGUACUCCCCAGGCGGAGUGCUUAUUGCGUUAGCGACAGCACCGAGGGUUGGUCACCCCCGACACUUAGCACUCAUCGUUUACGGCGUGGACUAC
rnacentral:misc_RNA from 1 species